GUCAUAGAGGGUGAGAAUCCCGUAAGUGAUUAGGCCUAACCCCGUGUAAAGCUCUUUCGACGAGUCGAGAAAUUUGGGAAUGCAGCUCAAAAUGGGUGGUAAAUUUCAUCUAAAGCUAAAUAUUGGCCAGAGACCGAUAGCGCACAAGUAGAGUGAUCGAAAGAUGAAAAGCACUUUGGAAAGAGAGUUAAACAGUACGUGAAAUUGUUAAAAGGGAAGCGUUUAUAACCAGACUUGCGGGCUAUCGAUCAUCCGAGGUUUUCCCCGGUGCACUCGAUUGUUCUCAGGCCAGCAUCGGUUCUAGUGGUGGGAUAAAGGCCGUGGGAAUGUGACUCUUCGGAGUGUUAUAGCCCACGGUGCAAUGCCGCCUACCGGGACCGAGGACCGCGCUUCGGCUAGGAUGCUGGCGUAAUGGUUGUAAACGACCCGUCUUGAAACACGGACCAAGGAGUCUAACAUCUAUGCGAGUGUUUGGGUGUCAAACUCAUACGCGUAAUGAAAGUGAACGGAGGUGAGAGUCCUUUAGGAUGCAUCAUCGACCGAUCCUGAUGUCUUCGGAUGGAUUUGAGUAAGAGCAUAACUGUUGGGACCCGAAAGAUGGUGAACUAUGCGUGAAUAGGGUGAAGCCAGAGGAAACUCUGGUGGAGGCUCGCAGCGGUUCUGACGUGCAAAUCGAUCGUCAAAUUUGCGUAUAGGGUAUGUGGAAUCUAUUAUAAACUUUGGUUGGGAUCUAAACUAACUGUAAUUACAGGGCGAAAGACUAAUCGAACCAUCUAGUAGCUGGUUCCUGCCGAAGUUUCGUAAGUUUUACUAUCUUCCAUACUAUUAGGACAUAACUAACAGUGUAUAUAGCCUCAGGAUAGCAGUGUUGUUUUCAUUUUUUGUAAAGCGAAUGAUUAGAGGCCUUUUGGGGUGGAAACAACCAUAACCUAUUCUCAAACUUUAAAUAUGUAAGAAGUCCUUGUUGCUUAAUUGAACGUGGGACAUUCGAAUGUAUCAACACUAGUGGGCCAUUUUUGGUAAGCAGAACUGGCG
rnacentral:rRNA from 1 species